GACGAACGCUGGCGGCGCGCCUAACACAUGCAAGUCGAACGAGCGAGAGAGAGCUUGCUUUCUCAAGCGAGUGGCGAACGGGUGAGUAACGCGUGAGGAACCUGCCUCAAAGAGGGGGACAACAGUUGGAAACGACUGCUAAUACCGCAUAAGCCCACGACCCGGCAUCGGGUAGAGGGAAAAGGAGCAAUUCGCUUUGAGAUGGCCUCGCGUCCGAUUAGCUAGUUGGUGAGGUAACGGCCCACCAAGGCGACGAUCGGUAGCCGGACGGAGAGGUUGACCGGCCACAUUGGGAAUGAGACACGGCCCAGACUCCUACGGGAGGCAGCAGUGGGGAAUAUUGCACAAUGGGGGAAACCCUGAUGCAGCGACGCCGCGUGGAGGAAGAAGGUCUUCGGAUUGUAAACUCCUGUUGUUGAGGAAGAUAAUGACGGUACUCAACAAGGAAGUGACGGCUAACUACGUG
rnacentral:rRNA from 1 species